ACUCAAAGGAAUUGACGGGGGCCCGCACAAGCGGUGGAGCAUGUGGUUUAAUUCGAAGCAACGCGAAGAACCUUACCAAGGCUUGACAUCCCAUUGACCGCAUUAGAGAUAGUGCUUCCCUUCGGGGCAAUGGUGACAGGUGGUGCAUGGUUGUCGUCAGCUCGUGUCGUGAGAUGUUGGGUUCAGUCCCGCAACGAGCGCAACCCUUAUCCUUAGUUGCCAGCAUUCAGUUGGGCUCUCUAAGGAGACAGCCGGUGAAAGCCGGAGGAAGGUGGGGAUGACGUCAAAUCAUCAUGCCCCUUAUGUCUUGGGCUACACACGUGCUACAAUGGAUGGUACAAAGGGAAGCAAGACCGCGAGGUGGAGCAAAUCCCAGAAAGCCAUUCUCAGUUCGGAUUGUAGGCUGCAACUCGCCUACAUGAAGCCGGAAUCGCUAGUAAUCGUGGAUCAGCAUGCCACGGUGAAUACGUUCCCGGGCCUUGUACACACCGCCCGU
rnacentral:rRNA from 1 species